rnacentral:rRNA from 1 species
UUCAGAUUGCAGGCUGCAACUCGCCUGCAUGAAGUCGGAAUUGCUAGUAAUCGCAGAUCAGCAUGCCGCGGUGAAUACGUUCCCGGGCCUUGUACACACCGCCCGUCACACCAUGGGAGUCGGUAACACCCGAAGUCGGUAGCCUAACCGUAAGGAGGGCGCCGCCGAAGGUGGGGAUUGAUGACUGGGGUGAAGUCGUAACAAGGUACC